UACGUAGGGUGCGAGCGUUGUCCGGAAUUAUUGGGCGUAAAGAGCUCGUAGGUGGUUCGUUAAGUCUGAUGUGAAAGCCCUGGGCUCAACCUGGGAAUGGCAUUGGAAACUGGCGACCUAGAGUGCGGUAGAGGGUAGUGGAAUUCCCGGUGUAGCAGUGAAAUGCGCAGAGAUCGGGAGGAACAUCCGUGGCGAAGGCGACUACCUGGACCAGCACUGACACUGAGGCACGAAAGCGUGGGGAGCAAACAGG
rnacentral:rRNA from 1 species